GAUGAACGCUGGCGGCGUGCCUAAUACAUGCAAGUCGAGCGAACAGAUGAGGAGCUUGCUCCUCUGACGUUAGCGGCGGACGGGUGAGUAACACGUGGAUAACCUACCUAUAAGACUGGGAUAACUUCGGGAAACCGGAGCUAAUACCGGAUAAUAUAUUGAACCGCAUGGUUCAAUAGUGAAAGACGGUUUUGCUGUCACUUAUAGAUGGAUCCGCGCCGCAUUAGCUAGUUGGUAAGGUAACGGCUUACCAAGGCAACGAUGCGUAGCCGACCUGAGAGGGUGAUCGGCCACACUGGAACUGAGACACGGUCCAGACUCCUACGGGAGGCAGCAGUAGGGAAUCUUCCGCAAUGGGCGAAAGCCUGACGGAGCAACGCCGCGUGAGUGAUGAAGGUCUUCGGAUCGUAAAACUCUGUUAUUAGGGAAGAACAAAUGUGUAAGUAACUAUGCACGUCUUGACGAUACCUAAUCAGAAAGCCACGGCUAACUACGUG
rnacentral:rRNA from 1 species